rnacentral:rRNA from 1 species
GAGUCGGCAACCUAGAAGCACGAGCCUGAGGCCAUGGGCAGAUGGGCUGCCACACUACGAGGCUCGGAAGCCGCUGAGGCGGCGCGGGCGAACGGAAGAGGGGCCGGCGGCGGCCGUAGCUUCCGGAGGCCAUCAAGGAGCGGCGGAGCUGCGCGCCGGCUGUGGAGGGCUCGGGCACGCCGAGCCACUGCUGCGGUGGUGAACGGCAGGGGCGCGCUCGUAGCGGAUCCCAAAAGAGGAAGGCCUACGCGUCGCGCGCCGAGCCGCCUAAGCGAGAGCGGGUGCCGGAGGAGGCGGAGCGUGGAGCCUCUCAGUUUAGGGUCGUCGGUAAAGGAACCGUCUGGUCGGGACCGCACCUUCUGCUCACUCGGGACAUACGCCAUUCAGGACGUCGAUCUAAGGGUUAAAAGGCACGAUUUAACCUACUUCACGUCAAUGGAUGUUUAGAAGGUAACAGGGUAGGACGCAUUAGGGUAAGUCUAAGUCGACCAAUGCUUCGUACAAACACGUCGUGCUUUAACGUUAAGACUUAGUCAAACGCGAGACUUCUUUACAGAUUACUCACCAAGUCCGAAAACAAAUACACAAGACCCACCUACGAUGGUUCAUACUGCUGAGGUCGUAGCACAGUGGAGAACCAAACAAGGAGUAUACACACGAGACGUCGAAUGUUAGUGCCAUACUCGGUCCUGAUCAGAAUGUCGUAGGAACACAGCGACGGUUUUAUUAACAGUGAAAAGGAGAAGGUUAAAUAUAUAUAAAACGAAUGACGUUAAGAUGACCAGUGUCAGGUAUUGAGUCGGACGUGUGCAAAAAAGAACGUUUUCAGAAACAAGGUGAGAAGAUGAAUAGGGAACGUAGUGCAAAAGAACGUUUUCAGACUCACUCUGUUGGCGGUUAGGACAUGGUUCAGUUCAGUUGAAUCAGUUUGUAUUGAAGACCGUCUGUUUAGCAAGUUUUCUCGAUUAGAAUGUGUGUUCUAGCAGGUCCGAGGUUGGUUUCGUCGUUCGUGAGGGUUCAAGAACAUCAAGAACCAAGGAGGUGAAGGACAUUUGAGAUCUAUAGUACAAGAGUUAGAAUAGAGGUGAGACAUAAAACGAUUAGGAAGGGGAGAAGUAGUGGUGUGGUUAUCGUCGUCGUGUUCGUUUGCAUAGACUCUAGCUGGCGGUCCGGGAGGAAACGAAAUUCAGGCCGUAGUUGAGAAUACGGGUACCGUGUGAUCUGAGUACCUCGUUACUGAGCGAUUUGAAAACGUCUACCUCUCCCCAGUCGACGUCGUGUUGCAAAGGUGGGGCCCACCAGAGAGAAUUGGAGUCGAGACACGUUGAGUCACCCGUUAAUAGACCUACGGAUCCGUUGAACCGAGAAGAUAGCACCUACUUGGAACGGCUAUUAGUAGACAGUCCUUGGUAGGGUCCACUCAACCCAUUCGAAGGUUUGGAGGUAUGUGACUUAGAACGGCCGUUGUCAGAAGUUCCAUUGUAGGGAUAAAGGAAUCCGCGAUCGUCAAGAGAAUCGAUAUAGUUAGAACGUUUGUUGUGCGAAUGGCCACCAUAGGGAGAGAGUAACCGGUCAUCGAGGUGUGAGUCGUGUGAAUAUGACAGUGCAUUAUCGGACAGACCUCUCUAGGGAAGAUGAAACAAACUAUUGAGUAGACUCGAAUGAUACCAACUAGAGGCCUACUUAAGAAAGUGACCACGGUAGGGUGGAAAGGUACUUCGGUGUCGAGAGUCUAAAGAAACGGACUGUCCUUUGAAGGAGAGACCUUCGUAUGGAGGAAGUUAUCCUUUAUAAAGAAGGGAGCGAAGAUAUAACGAGCCGGUUUUAUACAAUAGUCCUAAUUAAGGUCUCUGAAACUCAGUGUAAUGAUUUGACAAACUCGAACUAGAUUCAAAGUUGUCAAAUAGUCCCUCACAGGGCAACAGAGAAAUGUUGUACUGUAGUGAGUUCAUGAAAUCGCAUCCGUCGUUACGGGAACAACCUGUCUAUGGUAGAGUGUAACCAAUGAGUGAUGGUUUGGAGGUCAGGGAUUAGGACCCUUCGUUGUCCGACCUCCCGGACUAGGGAUGAAGUUAUCGAUUGUACAAUUUAGAAGUCCAUGAACUAGAAAGUUUGUUGAGUAAUGUACCGAGACACGGUAGAGAACCAAGCAACCGUUUGAACGCAGUCAAUUAAAAUCCCUUCUUGAACGAUCUUCGUAUACUGACCAGUAAAGAAUGUAGAGACCGUUCAACGUGGGUCGACUGUUUUAACAGGAACCUUCCCUUACGAGAUUUUCCGUCGAAUGGAUAACGUCAACAAUUAGAAAGGUGUUGCGAUCCUCUAAAUAGCGAACGUAGUUUGGUUUAAAGUCCGAGGUAUGGACGACUCUAAUCGUUAGAACAAUUAGAGUGAAGCGAAUCUUACCUUUCGUUAAAAGAAAGACCUUCGUAUGGAAGAUGGUAACCCUUCGACGUUAUGGAUAUAUAGGAUUUAGAUAGUUUGUUGUUUAAUAGUCCAGACUAGGGAGGGAGCCAACCACUGUAAUGAGUUGAUCCGUUCGAAAUAGAAUCACUAUUGUUCAACUGGCCAUUGUAUGGACCAUCAAAUCCAGUCACGUUCCCUGAAGAACUUGAUUUAAACAGAGCUUUGUUGGAUCUACCCAGUUAUGGUCAGCUUGAGAAACGAUUGGGAGGUAAGAGGGAGCCAGACCUGAAGAGUGUGUUGUUAGAGUGACCCCUUGACGGUGACCUUGAACCAUGUCAACCAUGACCACGACCAGGUUGUAGAGAAGUGUACCUUCCUUUGUUCAAUAUACCUGUUUAAGGUCGUUCUACCGUCAAUCAUAGUUGGCACGUCUAAUUAGAAAGAGUGUUACUGAAUAGGCCACGGCACGGACUUAAGAAACUCGUGGAAGUAUACGACCUCGUUGAACUAGAUAGAAUGUUGUUGAACCUUCCUCGACAAGGAUGUUCACCCUAGAAACUCUUAAGAUGGCGUCAUGAAAACCUACUAUUGUUCCCUGAGACAAGCUUAAGGAGGUCCGACCGUAAUGGUUAAACAGGACCGUAGAGUCGAAGUCGUUUAUUUUGUUUCGUAGUAUACAGGAGCGACCGUUGGAACGACGAUUAACAUUAUGGUGGUGAAUGAUAACGAAAGGAUCAGAACGAUACCAAAGAUGGGUGAGAAACCUUCUCUCGCCAUAAGAAUAAAAAGGUUAACCGUCAACACAGGUUCUUCUACAAAGCAAAACAAUGGGUAGUGUUCUCUUCUCUUCACGUAUGUCGAGGCGCGUUGCUACUCUUCUUCGACUUCUCCCACAGUAUAGUCCUGUAAGAAUUUCGAUGGUUGACCAAAAGAAGCGAUGUAUGAUAAUCGAGUUGGAGAUGACCCAGUCAAAUACAACCAUCCAAGUUCAGGCUGUCCUCUAACCAACGGUAGUUUCACAAGUUGAACUCACUUGGAUCACCUUCACUAUCAAUGAAAUAACUCACACUUCACGAUGCUUUGUGGGCGGUAUCUUUAUAUUACACAGGACACUGGCAUACGAGCUGUGAACUAAGUGUUUUAGUGCUCAAGUUUCGCGACUAUAAGUUCAAGUACCAAUUGCCGUCGGAACUGUCUACCAAUGUAAGACUCGUUGUGUUACCUUAGGGUCCGUCUCACGAUUUGAAACCGGUCUCCUAUACGUAUCGCCGUCUACACCGAAGACGAGAACUAAUACAGGUGUUGGUUGACUGCGGAGGAGACUAGGUAACACUAAACUUCGGUCGCUUGUAGGAAAACCUGCUACUGUACUGGCGCGCCGAGUCACUAAAGCCGAGUCGUUUCAAAAACAGCGGGCUAUACAAAUAAGGACUUUCGGACCUACUACAACCUCCUUGUCAACCUAUGUACCGUGGACUCAUGCCCUGACCAAUGCUCUAGAGGCAUCCUCGACUACGUAUAUCAAAACCUCACGAAGACGACCUCAACGAAUGGCCUUUUGCUGGUUGGCUACUAUACAAACAACUACCCGAAUGGGAAGGGUAAAAGAGACUUAGGUACAAGGGACUUUCUCAGCGUCUCUAAGAUCUAGGAGCAUACCCUGUACUCCUCGUAGUUCACACACGUCUUCAUACCUGCGUCUCUAUAUAACAGGGGGACUAACGAGAACCUAACAGUACAUGGCACCUUAGAGGCUUCCUGUCUGGACCUUACUUUCUACAAACACGUUUUGAAAGACGAUAUUCUCUACGAAAAGACCUUGUGGCACUACUGCUAACUACUUAUAAAGACGAGACAAUCUCGUGCGACUAAGAAAUAAUAAUUCUUACAUCAUUGUUCAUUUCAAGUAAGAAGUGUCAUGGAACAGAUAAACUGUUUGACCUUCUUUGAAACUCCGAACUCGUGUAUCUAUACUAAACGUCACCCGUUAUUAACCGAUGUUUUUCUUAGUUGACAAGAAACAACAUAUAAACAACUUAAUAAAAAUAAAACUGGAACUCGACACACAUACCGCUUUAAGAAAAUGAUCAAUUAAAACAUUUCCCAUGACAUAUAUACUUACACAAAAGGAGGGUAUUUUAGAAUACGGGUCGAAUUAUUUCGUUUCGUAAUAAAAA